UACGUAGGCAGCAAGCGUUGUUCGGAAUUACUGGGCGUAAAGAGUGUGUAGGCGGUGCUCUAAGUUCGGUGUGAAAUCUCCCGGCUCAACUGGGAGGGUGCGCCGGAAACUGGGGUGCUGGAGCGCGGGAGAGGAAAGCGGAAUUCCUGGUGUAGCGGUGAAAUGCGCAGAUAUCAGGAAGAACACCUGUGGUGUAGACAGCUUACUGGACCAUUUCUGACGCUGAGACACGAAAGCGUGGGUAGCAAACAGG
rnacentral:rRNA from 1 species